GCUCUGUCGCCCAGGCUGGAGUGCAAUGGCGCCAUCUCAGCUCACUGCAACCUCCGCCUCCCGGGUUCAAGCAAUUCUCCUGCCUCAGCUUAUCGAGUGCUGGGAUUACAGGUGCCUGCCACCAGAUCUGGCUAAUUUUUGUAUUUUUAGUACAGGCAAGGUUUCACCAUGUUGGCCAGGUUGGUCUCAAACUCCUGACCUCAAGUGAUCCGCCUGCCUCAGCCUCCCAAAGUGCUGGGAUUAUAGGUGUGAGCUAC
rnacentral:lncRNA from 10 species